AUGCAUCUGUUUCUGCCAGUGCUCUCAAAUUCUGAACUGGAGUGUGUAAUGUGUUUCAGAAGAGAUCUUGAGACUCUCAGAAGUAUAAUGAAUCCAGUGAUGACUCAACAACCAAGCCCUGAAUGUUGCUUGAUUGUUCAGAGCCAGCUGAGUGAUGCCGAGCCAGGGGUGUACAGGGCCCUGCCUCAGGAGCUGAAAAUCCAGCUAGGAGUUGAGGGAGAGACAACUGCAAGAAAGAAGGCUCAAGGUGCAGGGACAGAUUCAGGACCUUGCACUGGAAAUGCGAAGGAGGAAUGAAUUAGAGCCACAUUGCAGCCUCGAAAAAAAGGGGGUCUUGAUGAUGAUUUGACCACAGGGAGUAAAAAAAGGAGGAGACUCAAAGUUGGCCUCGAGGGAAGGGUGAGAAGGGAGCUUCACAGAAUGGGAGCUGAGUGGGGCCAGGCGCCUUCCAGAAAGGCCUUGAAAAGUCUGGCUUCUGAGGACUUUCCAAAAUCAGUGCUUGGCUUUUCACAAAAAUGAACUCUGAUUUAGAAAUAAGCUUUCUGAUCAUGACCUUCCCUUUUUUAUCAUUCACAUCUAUAAUGUCACCCCAUAUUCAUCUUCUCAACUCCCCCAAACUAACAACUGUCAAGUAAUAUUGCUGGGUGACUUUUAUUUAUUUAUUUAGUCUUUUUUUGGGGGGGCUGCUCCCCAGCAUAUGGACGUUCCCAGGCUGGUGUUGAAUCCGAGCUCCAGCUGCUGGCCUACACCACAGCCACAGCAACAGAGCAUCUGAGUCAUGUCUGCAACCUACACCAGAGCUCACGGCAAGCAACACCACAUCUUUAACCCACUGAACGAGGCCAGGGAUCGAACCCAUGUCCUCAUGGAUACUAGUCAGGAUCAUUACAGCUGAGCCACAGUGGGAACUCCAUGAGUGGCUUUUGAAUGUCUUAGCACUCUUAUUUUUUCCUUAUGAAUUAGUCCUGUUGAGCGUCCAUAUUCCCGGCAUGGACUGAGAUAGGGGACUUUUCCUUUUAACCGAGCCGGCAAUAACAGGGGUUUCCCUUCCCAGAGCCUCUCUUGAUUUCUCCGGCACUUCUGGAGAACUGCGCCAUCAGAGCAGGAUAAACAGCCCUAUUUGGAGACCCCCGAUCACCCUCAUCUCGCUCCCUGGGAUGGGGGUAGAGAAAGUCAGGACAGCAAGAGGAGGCUCCCUCCCUCCAAAGGGCACGGGAAUUCCUUUAGGGUGUGGUUCAUUGGAACGCAUUUGUCAGNAAAAAAGGAAAAAAAAAAAAAAAAAAAAAAAUCAGAGACA
rnacentral:lncRNA from 1 species